GCCCAGGUGGCGAAAUUGGUAGACGCACUACCUUGAGGUGGUAGCGCCCGUUAGGGCAUGGAGGUUCAAGUCCUCUCUUGGGCACAA
rnacentral:tRNA from 1 species